GAUGAACGCUGGCGGCGUGCCUAAUACAUGCAAGUCGAGCGGACAGACGCUGCUCUUGCUCCUCUGACGUUAGCGGCGGACGUGUGAGUCACACGUGUAUAACCUACCUAUAAGACUGGUAUAACUUCGGGAAACCGGAUCUAAUACGGGAUAAUAUAUUGAACCGCAUGGUUCAAUGGUGAAAUACGGUUUUGCUGUCACUUAUCGAUGCAUCUGGGCCGCAUUAGCUAGUUGGUAAGGUCACGGCUUACCAAGGCAACGAUGCGUAGCCGACCUGAGAGAGGGAUAGGCCACACGGGAACUUGGACACGGUCCAGACUCCUACGGGAGGCAGCAGUAGGGAAUGUUACGCAAUGGGCGAAAGCAUGACGGAGCAACGGCGCGUGAGUGAUGACGGUGUUCGGAGCGUAAAACUCUCUUAUUAGGGAAGAACAGCUGUGUAAGUAACUAUGCACGUCUUGACGGUAACGAAUAAGAAAGCAACGGCUAACUACGUG
rnacentral:rRNA from 1 species